rnacentral:rRNA from 1 species
UGCGCAGGCGGGCUUGUAAGUCAGUGGUGAAAUCUUGCCGCUUAACGGUAAAAUUGCCAUUGAUACUGCAGGUCUUGAGUAUGGUUGAGGUAGGUGGAAUGUGUUGUGUAGCGGUGAAAUGCAUAGAUAUGACACAGAACGCCGAUUGCGAAGGCAGCUUACUAAACUAUGAUUGACGCUGAGGCACGAAAGCGUGGGGAGCGAACAGGAUUAGAUACCCUGGUAGUCC